rnacentral:lncRNA from 1 species
ACAAGUGACACAAUAAGAUGUACUUAAUACAUGAACUGAACAUUGUGUACAAGAGUAGUUAAUAAAAAUAAUAGUCAAUUACAUCAUAUAAUUGGGUUCUAUACUCUUUUGCGUAUAUAUCGUGAAUGCUACCCCUUUGUGAUCAACUCUUUGUCCUCCUAAUCAAAUGGCACAGCUACUGCCCCUUAUGGAAAAAGAAAGGACUCUGUAAUACUCAUAAAUGUAAAAGAAAAACAUCAUGUGAUGCAUCUCAACCUGCGCAGAACAAUGUAGAAACAUACAUGCUGUCUACAUACUCUCAUUGUCUAGCAAAGCAUAAGUAGCUGAGGGACCCUGUAUAGAAGAAUUGACAAUUAGCAAGAAAGAAGCAUGCCAUCAGCUGUCUAGACAACCAUAAAACAAUAAGUGGCAAAAGCCCCAUCAGAUUUAGCAUUUGCCAUCCAGUUUAUGAGCUAAAGUUCAGCAUUCACCAAUCGAUAGAACAUAUUAAGCAUCAGCUAUAAAACAAACCCUAUUUUCCUAAUAAGACAACAUAGAUAUGAAAGUGGCUCCUUCUCCGCCACACCCCCUUCUCCCCUUCACGCCCCUCCUUCCUGGUUCUCCACUCGGCGAAGCAUCGGAGCUGGCGACCAGCGGGAGGCAGGGAUUGAUUUAACCAGACAAUAAAGAACGCCGCUCUUAGGCUUUCCGGUAAUGAAACUAAGCUAAACAGAAUCCCUUGAUUAAUCCGACGCAGCCACCAGCCCACCAAGUUCCAAACAGCAACAGAAGGAGACACAGAGAGAAAGAUAUAGGCGGCUUGUGUGUCCUAACCAUGAACUGGUCGAGCUCGCACCAUUAUCUCCAGCGGCACGGUCAGAGCAUUGAUCAUCAUUCUUACUCCAGUAUUCAACAUCAACAAUGAGUCUGCACCUACACCUUGACAUACCCCUGAAAGCGGUCAACCUUAGCCCACUGCAACAGAGUCAUAGCUCCAUGAGCAGAUAAAUUAAGCACUGCAACUGUAGGUGCAGGAAAAAAGUAGAAGUAGAAAUUAAGUAGGUGCAGAAAUAAUUUAAAUUUAAGUACAGAAAUACAGUAGAAGUAGAAGUAGAAGUAGAAGCAAAAAUAAACUGUGGAUGCAGUAAUGAAACUAAGUACUCCCUCCAUGCUAGGAAAGAAGACCUACAAGUUUGUUGGAUUAACUUGGCCAAACUUUACAUUGUUUGACUUUGACCAAAACUGACAUGCCUUCUUUUAAAGAAGGGAGGGAGUAUUAAAUUUAAAUAUGAAAUGGUGUUGUGGUAACAAAGUGAGCUGCUGGUACCCAGAACAAAAAACCUUCCAGCUCAUUGGUGAGCAACCUCACUGAAGCUCCUACGAAUAGGAAAAUGUUGUCUUCCCCGCGGCUGCACUCCGCCGCGACCGGAGCGCAGUCCCCACUGCACUUCUCAGGUAAUUGCUCAAUAAAUCAUUUUAUGACUAAUAUUUUUUUACCAGUACACUAAUUUUAUAACAGAAAAUACCGCCUUCCCACGGUCAUGGAUAAUACAUCAGCCUACUCAUGUUCCUGACUUGAAAUCAGCCAAAUCAAAGCUACUACAUAUCAAAAUCAUAAAUAGUAAUUAUAUUUCAGGAGGUGCAAAUUAGUUGUGUUCUCUACUGGACUGAAGCCAGUCAAGUCACAACUAAUACAUACCGACGUGAGGUAUCUUCCCGAUUAGCUACAUCAUAAUCAUCAAACCAAGGAAAAAGUCAAACACUGGACAACCCGCCUGGCUGAAGCAUGUUAUUCUCAAAGACAUGAAGUUUCUACUUCACAUGGAACUUAACUAAGAUCAGAAAAAUAACAAUUAGUAGAUGAUUUCCUAUUUGAUUCUUUUUUCAAUAAGAAACUGGCCAAAGACAUCCAAAUCGCAAACGAAUAUUGUGAAGACAACCACAAUGACAAUAGGGAAUGUGCGAAAAGAAUGUAUUGUAUUUGUACUUAAUAUUGAGGUAUACCCUCAAUUUCUAAUUCCUAUUUGAACUGAAAGAAGAGCACAAGAAAACACCCAGUUUUGUUUACCUUGCAUUUGCAUCAUACAUAACAGCUGCUAUGUAGCAGUGCAAGAAUCAGCCAGGUAAAAAUGGAAAGAAACUGACAUACAAAAAAUCUAAUACAAUGAAUUUGCAUAGGAACAACACAACAUAUGCCUUGGGAAGUAGGCCAGCGAAAGAAAAAGGCUCAUAGCUCAGUCAAUCCAAUGGACCAACAACUUACAAAAAACAUAAUAAGACAUAGACAAUACGGUGACGAUGGCAAGAGCUAGAUUAAGGAGCAUAAUCCAGUGGUAUUUACAACGAGUAGAAAUUGUCAUAAGUAGCUAGGGAAGGCAGGAAGGGCCAACGGUGGUCCAAUUGUGAUAUUUACAACACAUAACAGUUGAUUCAUUAAGAAAGCUAAAUAAAGGGAUAGUAUCGACAGUGGCUUGACAUAGUUCCAUGAGUGUCAAAAGCCCUGACGUAGAACCCUGACCACCAGAGGCCCAAUUUUUUUUCCUCUGCGGCAUUAGCAAGACACCAUCCCCAGGAAUUUCAAUUUCUAAUCCAGCAAGGAGAUGCCCAUCCCAUCAACCUCACAUAGGUGGCUAGGAGGAGGCAAACCACAGUGUGCAGCCACUGUUUCUAGAAUCGGCCUGACAAAAGAUAUUAUGCCACAGAUGCCGGCCAUAUGAAACAAUGAGACAACAACAACCAACACAGAAAGUACGCAGGCAGCAAGCAACAACGAAUAGAAAUAAUAAUUGAGAUGAACCAAUAAUAGGUAAGAAAAGGCACAACACACGGGACACACACAGUUAGAACUGAAUAAAGACAAAAUAUCAAAUGAACAUAAGAAAGUAAGCUUCAAGGAGGAAGAUGAAACCUUGAAAAGCCGAAAGAGAACAGCCAACGAUGCGUAUGAGAUGAAUCACAGAAGAACUUCGACAAGGGAUAAACUGCAGCAUGACCUGCAACACAUGUAAAUAUAGGAAAACGUUAGCAGGCAAAGAAUAAAUCAUAGAACACCACUGUAUUGUUGUAUUGCAAUAUACCUCUAUUUCUGCAACAAGAAAAUAAGUGUGGGCAAGACUAUAUAAAGGAAACAGAUUGUUAGUUGAAGAGAGGGUACUUGACACUUUUCUCUUUUCCUUUAAUGGUGUUUACAACAUCUCCUGGCCACCCAAACCCACAUGCCAAACAAAAAUGAAAUUAGAGAGCAAUGAGAGGAGGAACUCACAUGGGGAGGUGUAGCCAGAAGGGACGAGCGGUGAGACGGCGCACAGCGGGGAGUCCGCGGCACCAGCGCCAUGGUUGGUACUGCUAAGCCUUUAACAACUAACCAGUGCAACCAAAACAUGCUCAACAGGAGGUGAGGGACACAGCUGGAAAAAAUAAUUAUGUGUAAUAUUACUAACUGAUCUCAAUACCAUGGAAGCAUAAAUAAUAAAUGACCAUAUGUUUUAGGAUGAUUUCGCUCAUAGAAACUGCAUUUUUAUCCCUUUUCCAUUUUACCUUAACUCGAUUUCCAUCCAUAGUUACACGACCAUGUAGCAUAAAAAAUAGAUAAUUUCGAGUGUAAUUUUCAGCUCUAUAGAGAAUCCAACUACAAAUGCAUAGCUUAUAUAGAGAGCAUGGAUACAAUUAUAAAUAUGUAGUCCAUGCCCCAAUUAUAAAUACUUUGUUCUCACCUUAAACUAUCACAAAAGAAACAAAUAAAAACACAACUGCUGAUAUAAAUGCAGACCAGCGCACAACAUAUCAGGUGAAGAUUUUGAACGACAAGCAACCAGAUCAGUUUUUUUUGCGGGUAAGCAACCAGAUCAAUUUAGUUCACAACACGCAUGUUCAUACAACUACUUCCAUAAACAGUUGCAGUAUGAUUUCAUGAACUCAUUCUCACCAAUCCAUCCAUUGUGAGUAAACAGCAACCACUACCCAAUCGCUUAUCAAGAAUGACCCAAAGCACCAAACUGAACAUAACUCUAUCACCACAUCAUUUUGAAAUCUUUUAUUUUUUUAAGCUAAGCAAGCUUGCUCCUUUUCUUUUUUGGUUAAAGCUACGUCUGUGAGUUUGGAGAAGAAAAGCAAUUAAUAAAUUUACCCAAACUAAAUUAUCUUCUUAUCUGCUUUAAUGGAACAUAGUAAGUUGUUGUUGCUGCUGUCAGUGUUAACAAGCAAGAAAAGCAAUUUAUAAAUUUAACCGCUGCGCAGAUGGCGCAAGAAGCCAAUCAGAAGAGAUAAUUAAGUGGUAAUUAUAGUCUGUUAGUAGUCAACAAGCAAGGUGAGCAAGAUUUGAGUAACCAGCAUUAAAGAGGCAAAUAACACAGAACAAGUACCAACCAAUGAUUUUGAUCUAAGAGAGAUUUCCUACCUCUUAGGCUUGGUUUGGUCAGGCUGCACGUUCUCAUCUCCAGUAACCACAACAUCAGCAUUCUCACCAUCCAGCUUAGUUUCCUAUUGUCACGUGGGGAUGAUCAUCAUGGGACGAAAUUUAUAACAGGGCUGGCCUGGAACACGACGUACCUACGACGUGUCUUCCUCCUCGUCGCUGCAGGCCCCGGGGCCUUCACUCCACCAGCAGGAGUUGUGUCUCAUGUGGGCUGCUGCCGCCCUUGUCCUUCAUCUUGUGCGCCAUCCACCACACCUUAAACCGGAUAACUGAUGAGGACAAAAAAAAGCUAUAAAAUGUGUGAGUUGAUUUGCCGAGGAAAUAAAUAGCUAUUGACACACUCUGAAGGUUUAUUCACAUCUAAAGGUGCCAAGGAUUCUUAAAACAUUAAAUACACUCUGGAAAGAGAUGAAAAACAAAAAACAUGAACCUUUUACCUACACAAGUAAGUAAAGAACCUGAACCCUUUGCCACUACAGAUCUAAAAGCAUGUGUAAAUAGAAAUCAUGGGCCAUCUCAUGCAUGGGUGAGCAGGAGUAUCAUAAUAAAGUGUAACUCUUGGACAUCUCUAUAUUCAUGCUCUGUAAUUGUUGAUCCCAUCUAUUCUUGCUCAUGGCUACACCUAGGGUUCUUGAUGUGUAAUAUCUCAAUGAAGUGUUCAAUCCAUAAUUUCGAAUGUGAAAACAAAAAGGCAUUUACCUAUUGCAGUCCAUACACCCAUUGAAGAUGAUCCUACUGACUCCUAUGAUGGGUUGUGCAUGAGCAAAAUCAACAUUAACCGACUCGGGACCUACAAAGGAGAAGAGAACAUUAAAUUUCUGCAAGUUGCAUUUAUCCAAUGUGCUUGAGUUUAUUCUUCUCCCUUUUAUGAUUAGUUAUAAAUUGGCACACAGCUGAGUAUCAAUAUUCCAUCAACAAAACACAAAGAACUUUUACGCAAUGCAUAUAGAUAAAAAAUGGGGGCAAAGAACCACAUUGAAUAUCCUCCUUCCAACAGUAAAAGGCUAGGCAUCACAAAAUUAUAAAUUUUAUGUCGAUAACUAGUAGGAAGCAGCCCUAAAGCGCCACAUGUUAUGUGUUGCUGCCCAAUAGAAAACAUUUUGCAUGUAGCAUGAAAUCCCUAACUUUUGAAUGCAUGACUAAUUCUGCCUACAUCUUCUAACUUUCGGAUUUCUAAAUUCUAUAGAGAGGUAGUAGGUUAGAGAGAUGAAUCUUCGCCUGAGAUUGAAGAAAGAAAAUAGGAUGAGCUCACCUUAGAACUGAC